GGCCAUUGCCUUCUACCUAUAACUCUUCAAAGAUUCAAUGUUGCUGUCUUCUGCUCUCCCCAGCUAGAGAUCAACUCUGCCUGUCAGGUUAGUCACAGACAGCCUCCCCUGAGGGGAACAUC
rnacentral:lncRNA from 1 species